CCAGACUCCUACGGGAGGCAGCAGUGAGGAAUAUUGGUCAAUGGGAGGAAUCCUGAACCAGCCAUGCCGCGUGCAGGACGACGGCUCUACGAGUUGUAAACUGCUUUUGUACCGGGGUAAAAUGCCUUACGAGUAGGGUUUUGAAAGUACGGUACGAAUAAGGAUCGGCUAACUCCGUGCCAGCAGCCGCGGUAAUACGGAGGGUGCGAGCGUUAAUCGGAAUUACUGGGCGUAAAGCGCACGUAGGCUGUAUGACAAGUCAAGGGUGAAAUGCCACGGCUCAACCGUGGAACUGCCUUUGAAACUGUCAAACUGGAGUAUGUGAGAGGGCGGCGGAAUUCCUGGUGUAGGAGUGAAAUCCGUAGAUAUCAGGAGGAACAUCAGUGGCGAAGGCGGCCGCCUGGCACAAAACUGACGCUGAGGUGCGAAAGCGUGGGUAGCAAACAGGAUUAGAUACCCUAGUAA
rnacentral:rRNA from 1 species